AAAUUGAAGAGUUUGAUCAUGGCUCAGAUUGAACGCUGGCGGCAGGCCUAACACAUGCAAGUCGAACGGUAACAGGAAGCAGCUUGCUGCUUCGCUGACGAGUGGCGGACGGGUGAGUAAUGUCUGGGAAGCUGCCUGAUGGAGGGGGAUAACUACUGGAAACGGUGGCUAAUACCGCAUAACGUCGCAAGACCAAAGAGGGGGACCUUCGGGCCUCUUGCCAUCAGAUGUGCCCAGAUGGGAUUAGCUAGUUGGUGAGGUAACGGCUCACCAAGGCGACGAUCCCUAGCUGGUCUGAGAGGAUGACCAGCCACACUGGAACUGAGACACGGUCCAGACUCCUACGGGAGGCAGCAGUGGGGAAUAUUGCACAAUGGGCGCAAGCCUGAUGCAGCCAUGCCGCGUGUAUGAAGCAGGCCUUCGGGUUGUAAAGUACUUUCAGCGGGGAGGAAGGUGUUGUGGUUAAUAACC
rnacentral:rRNA from 1 species